rnacentral:rRNA from 1 species
AGUGAACGCUGGCGGUAGACCUAACACAUGCAAGUCGAACGGCAGCACAGUAAGAGCUUGCUCUUACGGGUGGCGAGUGGCGGACGGGUGAGGAAUACAUCGGAAUCUACUUUUUCGCGGGGGAUAACGUAGGGAAACUUACGCUAAUACCGCAUACGACCUACGGGUGAAAGCAGGGGAUCUUCGGACCUUGCGCGAUUGAAUGAGCCGAUGUCGGAUUAGCUAGUUGGCGGGGUAAAGGCCCACCAAGGCGACGAUCCGUAGCUGGUCUGAGAGGAUGAUAAGCCACACUGGAACUGAAACACGGUCCAGACUCCUACGGGAGGCAGCAGUGGGGAAUAUUGGACAAUGGGCGCAAGCCUGAUCCAGCCAUACCGCGUGGGUGAAGAAGGCCUUCGGGUUGUAAAGCCCUUUUGUUGGGAAAGAAAAGCAGCAGGUUAAUACCCCGCUGUUCUGACGGUACCCAAAGAAUAAGCACCGGCUAACUUCGUG